AUUGAACGCUGGCGGCAGGCCUAACACAUGCAAGUCGAGCGGCAGCGGAAAGUAGCUUGCUACUUUGCCGGCGAGCGGCGGACGGGUGAGUAAUGUCUGGGAAACUGCCUGAUGGAGGGGAAUAACUACUGGAAACGGUAGCUAAUACCGCAUAACGUCGCAAGACCAAAGAGGGGGACCUUCGGGCCUCUUGCCAUCAGAUGUGCCCAGAUGGGAUUUGCUAGUAGGUGGGGUAACGGCUCACCUAGGCGACGAUCCCUAGCUGGUCUGAGAGGAUGACCAGCCACACUGGAACUGAGACACGGUCCAGACUCCUACGGGAGGCAGCAGUGGGGAAUAUUGCACAAUGGGCGCAAGCCUGAUGCAGCCAUGCCGCGUGUAUGAAGAAGGCCUUCGGGUUGUAAAGUACUUUCAGCGGGGAGGAAGGCGAUAAGGUUAAUAACCUUGUCGAUUGACGUUACCCGCAGAAGAAGCACCGGCUAACUCCGUGCCAGCAGCCGCCGUAAAAC
rnacentral:rRNA from 1 species